UCCUCUGUGGCUCAGUUGGUAGAGCAUGGCGCUUGUAAAGCCAGGAUUGUGGGUUCGAUUUCUGCUGGGAU
rnacentral:tRNA from 1 species